rnacentral:rRNA from 1 species
AUUGAACGCUAGCGGGAUGCUUUACACAUGCAAGUCGAACGAGUGGCGGACGGGUGAGUAAUAUAUCGGAACGUGCCCAGUAGCGGGGGAUAACUACUGGAAAGCGUGGCUAAUACCGCAUACCAUCGGAUCUGCCGAUAUCGGCUUAGCUAGUUGGUGGGGUAAAGGCUCACCAAGGCCACGAUCCCUAGCUGGUGUGAGAGGCCGACCAGCCACACUGGCACUGAGACACGGCCCAGACUCCUACGGGAGGCAGCAGUGGGGAAUAGUGGACAAUGGGCGAAACCCUGAUGCAGCCAUCCCGCGUGUAUGAGAAGGCCUUCGGGUUGUAAAGUACUUUUGGCGGGGAAGCGGUAUCUGCAGAAGAAGCACCGGCUAACUCCGUGCCAGCAGCCGCGGUAAUUC